rnacentral:rRNA from 1 species
ACCUUCGGUUGUAACCGCUUUGUCAGGGAAGGAAAAGCUUCGAACUAAUAAUUUGAGGUGAUGACGGUACCUGAAGAAUAAGCACCGGCUAACUACGUGC